UAAAAAACAUUUCUCUUCCAAUUGUAAACAAAAUAUAUCAAGCAAUGAAUUUUUGAGUAAUUAACUCGAAUUAUUGAAUUCAAAAUUUUGAACUAAGUAAACAUGUCUGAUUAAACUUUAAAGAAAAAUGUCACAUCUCUAUCGAAAAGUAGUUGCAAGUGCGUCUGUUAUGGCCUUCAUACCCAAACUUGCCACGAUGAUUUGAUGUUGAUGAAAACUUUUUGCUACUUUUCUUUUAUCUAUGUUUCUUUAGUUUUUCUGGUGGGCGUUUAUAUUUUGGAGGCAAAAUCACAUCUUCUAAUACCUCCGGUGGUAUAUGUCAGUCUCGUUUAUCGGGCAUUGAACUCAACGGCAUUUCACAAGUCUUCACUAGUGCCUCCCUCUUGUAGUAAUCUGAACAGUAUGGCUUUAUUUUCUUUACAUAUUUGCUUUUCAAAACAGCAAUAGCGUGCGCACAUGGUAUCUCAUCAAGCUGAAAUCUACAACAGUUGCAUGUUCUAUUAUCCAACCGAAUAAUGUAUUUUCUUCCUUCUUCAUACAGACCGUGUAUGUAGUUAGUUGAUUCCCUA
rnacentral:lncRNA from 1 species